ensembl:snRNA U6 U6 spliceosomal RNA
GUGCUCGCUUUAGCAGCAUAUAUACUAAAAUUAGAAUGAUAACAGAGAUUAACAUGUCCCCUGUGCAAGGAUGACCACAAAUUUGUGAAGGUUACAAUAAAAAU